rnacentral:tRNA from 1 species
GUCUACGUAGCUUAAACCAACCCAAAGCAAGACACUGAAAAUGCCUAGAUGGAUAUACACAUCCCAUAGACA